rnacentral:rRNA from 1 species
AUUGAACGCUGGCGGCAGGCCUAACACAUGCAAGUCGAGCGGAUGAAGGGAGCUUGCUCCUGGAUUCAGCGGCGGACGGGUGAGUAAUGCCUAGGAAUCUGCCUGGUAGUGGGGGAUAACGUCCGGAAACGGGCGCUAAUACCGCAUACGUCCUGAGGGAGAAAGUGGGGGAUCUUCGGACCUCACGCUAUCAGAUGAGGCUAGGUCGGAUUAGCUAGUUGGUGGGGUAAAGGCCUACCAAGGCGACGAUCCGUAACUGGUCUGAGAGGAUGAUCAGUCACAAUGGAACUGAGACACGGUCCAGACUCCUACGGGAGGCAGCAGUGGGGAAUAUUGGACAAUGGGCGAAAGCCUGAUCCAGCCAUGCCGCGUGUGUGAAGAAGGUCUUCUGAUUGUAAAGCACUUUAAGUUGGGAGGAAGGGCAGUAAGUUAAUACCUUGCUGUUUUGACGUUACCAACAGAAUAAGCACCGGCUAACUUCGUG